rnacentral:piRNA from 1 species
UGAGGUCUAUGAAUUUUACAUUAUCCACUG